rnacentral:rRNA from 1 species
GAGGAAUAUUGGUCAAUGGGCGAGAGCCUGAACCAGCCAAGUAGCGUGCAGGAUGACGGCCCUAUGGGUUGUAAACUGCUUUUGUAUGGGGAUAAAGUCAAUCACGUGUGAUUGUUUGCAGGUACCAUACGAAUAAGGACCGGCUAAUUCCGUGCCAGCAGCCGCGGUAAUACGGAAGGUCCGGGCGUUAUCCGGAUUUAUUGGGUUUAAAGGGAGCGUAGGCUGGAGAUUAAGUGUGUUGUGAAAUGUAGACGCUCAACGUCUGACUUGCAGCGCAUACUGGUUUCCUUGAGUACGCACAACGUUGGCGGAAUUCGUCGUGUAGCGGUGAAAUGCUUAGAUAUGACGAAGAACUCCGAUUGCGAAGGCAGCUUACGGGAGCACAACUGACGCUGAAGCUCGAAGGUGCGGGUAUCAAACAGGAUUAGAUACCCUGGUAGUCCGCACAGUAAACGAUGGAUGCCCGUUGUUAGUUCACUUAAGAAUUAGCGACCAAGCGAAAGCAUUAAGCAUCCCACCUGGGGAGUACGCCGGCAACGGCG